rnacentral:rRNA from 1 species
UACGGGGGGGGCAAGCGUUGUUCGGAAUUACUGGGCGUAAAGGGCUCGUAGGCGGCCAACUAAGUCAGACGUGAAAUCCCCAGGCUUAACCUGGGAACUGCGUCUGAUACUGGAUGGCUUGAAUUCGGGAGAGGGAUGCAGAAUUCCAGGUGUAGCGGUGAAAUGCGUAGAUAUCUGGAGGAAUACCGGUGGCGAAGGCGGCAUCCUGGACCGACAUUGACACUGAUGAGCGAAAGCUAGGGGAGCAAACGGG